GGGAAGUGAAACAUCUCAGUACCCUUAGGAAAAGAAAUCAAUUGAGAUUCCCUCAGUAGCGGCGAGCGAAAGGGGAAGAGCCCAUUAAGUCAUAUAAGUUCUAGUGGAACGCUCUGGGAAGUGCGACCGUAGACGGUGAUAGUCCUGUACACGAAAGGGCUUAUAUGAUGAUGUCGAGUAGGGCGAGGCACGUGAAACCUUGUCUGAAUAUGGGGGGACCAUCCU
rnacentral:rRNA from 1 species